rnacentral:rRNA from 1 species
UAGAAGAAACAAUGCUAAAAUUAGUAAUAAGAGAGCACCAGGCUCUCUCCCGGCACAUGUGUAAGUCAGAUCGGACCAACCACUGACAAAUAACGGACCCAAAAAGAGGGAAAAACAAUAAACCAAAAAAACAAGAAAACCUUGUCACAGCCAACCGUUAACCCAACACAGGAGUGCCCCAGGGAAAGACUAAAAGGAGAAGAAGGAACUCGGCAAAUACAAACCCCGCCUGUUUACCAAAAACAUCGCCUCUUGCUAACAAAUGAAGUAUUAGAGGUCCCGCCUGCCCUGUGACCAAUGUGUUUAACGGCCGCGGUAUCCUGACCGUGCGAAGGUAGCGUAAUCACUUGUCUUUUAAAUGAAGACCUGUAUGAAUGGCAUAACGAGGGUUUAACUGUCUCCUUCCCCCAGUCAAUGAAAUUGAUCUGCUCGUGCAGAAGCGGGCAUAUAAACAUGGGACGAGAAGACCCUGCGGAGCUUUAGGCUAAGGAUCAAACAUGUAAAACAGACUCCUCUCUACAAAACUGCAAGCCCCAGAACCAAUCGUAACAUGAUUCAAAUGCCUUCGGUUGGGGCGACCGCGGGGGAAAAUAAAGCCCCCACAUGGAAUGAAGACACCUUCCAAACUAAGAAUAACAACUCAAAGUAACAGAACAUCUGCCCAAAAAUGACCCAGGAUAAACCAAACCUGAUCAAUGAACCAAGUUACCCCAGGGAUAACAGCGCAAUCCUUUCCCAGAGUCCAUAUCGACGAAAGGGUUUACGACCUCGAUGUUGGAUCAGGACAUCCUAAUGGUGCAGCCGCUAUUAAGGGUUCGUUUGUUCAACGAUUAACAGUCCUACGUGAUCUGAGUUCAGACCGGAGUAAUCCAGGUCGGUUUCUAUCCAUGUUUUACCACUUCUUCCCCGUACGAAAGGAUCGGAAAAAGGGGGCCCAUACUAAAAGCAAGCCCCACCCCCACCUUCUGAAAACAAAUAAAAAAG